AAAAGAAACAAACCCGACCGACGGUGGCGCUAACAGAGCCACCACGCGCCGGCCGGUGGAGAUCGCAAAGUUGAACGGAGGAGAAGCUAGUUUAUCGGACGAGAGGAUAAGAUGCUUUUUUAAUCUGGUUAAAUCUUAAGAGAGGAGGGACCAAGAGCCUUGUUUUUUUAGCAAGCCAUGGCCAAGCAUCAUCCUGAUUUGAUCAUGUGCCGGAAACAACCUGGCAUCGCCAUUAGGAGAUUGUGCGAGAAAUAUGAUGGCAAGUGCGUGGUCUGCGAUUCCUACGUGCGCCUCUGUACGCUGGUUAGGAUUUGAGAUGAAUGCAACUAUGGUUCGUUCCAAGGACGGUGUGUCAUAUGCGGAGGGGUUGGAAUCUCAGAUGCUUACUACUGCAAAGAGUGUACACAGCAGGAGAAAGAUCGAGAUGGUUUUCCCAAGAUUGUCAAUCUCGGGAGUGCGAAGACUGAUUUGUUCUAUGAACGUAAGAAGUAUGGAUUUAAGAAAUGAUGAUUGUUUCUUAAAUCGUAGGUAAGUGUCUGUACUAGUCUAUUUCUAGGCAUUGAUUCAAAGAAAAUACCAUUGUUUGUUACUCUUUGUGCCUUAUCGAUUAGCCGAACGUCUUAUCUUUGUCAGCGGCGAAUCUACAUUGAAGCUUGUGGGUGCAAGUGCACCCAUAAAAAUUUAAUA